AAGGUGUCACACAACAAACAUCCCAUGAUGUGUAAAAGCAAAGAGCUCUCUCUCAAGGUCUUUGCAACCUUAAUAUUGCAAAACAUACUGAUGGCAUCGGUUACAGAAGGAUUUCAAAGUUUCUGAAUGUUGCAAUGCAGCAUAAUCUGAAAUUAG